ACUCAAAGGAAUUGACGGGGGCCCGCACAAGCGGAGGAACAUGUGGUUUAAUUCGAUGAUACGCGAGGAACCUUACCCGGGCUUGAAAGUUAGUGACGGAUGUCGAAAGAUGUCUUCUCUUCGGAGCACGAAACUAGGUGCUGCAUGGUUGUCGUCAGCUCGUGCCGUGAGGUGUCGGGUUAAGUCCCAUAACGAGCGCAACCCCUACUGUUAGUUGCCAGCGAGUAAUGUCGGGAACUCUAGCAGGACUGCCGGUGUAAACCGCGAGGAAGGUGGGGAUGACGUCAAAUCAGCACGGCCCUUACGUCCGGGGCGACACACGUGUUACAAUGGUCGGUACAGAGGGUCGCUACCUGGUGACAGGAUGCUAAUCUCAAAAGCCGAUCUCAGUUCGGAUCGAAGGCUGAAACUCGCCUUCGUGAAGUUGGAUUCGCUAGUAAUCGCGCAUCAGCCAUGGCGCGGUGAAUACGUUCCCGGGCCUUGCACACACCGCCCGU
rnacentral:rRNA from 1 species